rnacentral:rRNA from 1 species
GACAAGCCCUGGAAACGGGGUCUAAUACCGGAUAACACUCUGUCCCGCAUGGGACGGGGUUAAAAGCUCCGGCGGUGAAGGAUGAGCCCGCGGCCUAUCAGCUUGUUGGUGGGGUAAUGGCCUACCAAGGCGACGACGGGUAGCCGGCCUGAGAGGGCGACCGGCCACACUGGGACUGAGACACGGCCCAGACUCCUACGGGAGGCAGCAGUGGGGAAUAUUGCACAAUGGGCGAAAGCCUGAUGCAGCGACGCCGCGUGAGGGAUGACGGCCUUCGGGUUGUAAACCUCUUUCAGCAGGGAAGAAGCGAAAGUGACGGUACCUGCAGAAGAAGCGCCGGCUAACUACGUGCCAGCAGCCGCGGUAAUACGUAGGGCGCAAGCGUUGUCCGGAAUUAUUGGGCGUAAAGAGCUCGUAGGCGGCUUGUCACGUCGGAUGUGAAAGCCCGGGGCUUAACCCCGGGUCUGCAUUCGAUACGGGCUAGCUAGAGUGUGGUAGGGGAGAUCGGAAUUCCUGGUG